rnacentral:rRNA from 1 species
UACGUAGGUGGCAAGCGUUGUCCGGAUUUAUUGGGUUUAAAGGGUGCGUAGGCGGCCUUGUAAGUCAGUGCUGAAAUAUCCCGGCUUAACCGGGAGGGUGGCAUUGAUACUGCAGGGCUUGAGUAAAGUUGAGGUUGGCGGAAUUGACGGUGUAGCGGUGAAAAUGCUUAGAUAUCGUCAAGAACACCGAUAGUGAAGACAGC